rnacentral:misc_RNA from 1 species
UUAAGUUCAGCGGGUCUUCCUACCUGAUCCGAGGUCAACCUUGGGUAAAUAAGGCUUUUAACGGCCGGAACCCGCAGCACGCCCUGAGCGAGAUGUAUUACUACGCUCGGAGUGACUAGCGAGCCCGCCACUGGUUUUCAGGGCCUGCGGCAGCCGCAGGUCCCCAACACAAGCCGGGCUUGAUGGGCAGUAAUGACGCU